GUCCCCUUCGUCUAGAGGCCUAGGACAUCACCCUUUCACGGUGAGUAAAGGGGUUCGAAUCCCCUAGGGGACG
rnacentral:tRNA from 1 species